UUCUAAACUGCGGGGGUGAAAUACAUGUUACUAUGAUUACGAAUAUUUCUUACAUGGUAUGGUCAGCUACGGAAGGAACUGUUAGGUUAUGUGAUUGGGUAGGCGAAAUCUUAAGAACAUUAGUCCUCGUAGUACGAUCGAGGGAUAUAAGUGAUAGGCCUAUUUGAGCAUAACAAACCCCACCCAUGCGCCCUAAGGUUGGACCAUGUGGUUGGACCAUGUGGUGACCUUGUCUUA
rnacentral:lncRNA from 1 species